rnacentral:misc_RNA from 1 species
GGCUUUUCAUAAUAAUUGAGUGUCAGUGUGCGGCUUGCAUUGGUCCAGGGUCCAGCCAUGCUGCGACUUCUAUCUCUUCUAUCUGUGUCCUUCUAUGUUGUGCUGUUCGUGAAGACAACCCUGUCCAGUAUUUAUCAUCCCUCGUGGCAGCAAUAUUAUCCACAACGAAAGUGUGUCAUUCAGAUGGUCAUUGUAUGAGGAGCAAAUCCAUUACCGGCCGGCGCGGACCAGAGCUGGCUUCGGCAGAUAUCGGUUGCUUCCGGUUGGUGCCGAGCUCAUAUGCGACUUCCCAGAAAACCUUGUGACUGUCUCCAACAUAAUAUGGGAGAGGGCCGACCUAGGGGACAACAACAGUUUGGAUGAGAUCUACAGGCAGCACGGAAUACAACAGGACUACAUUCUGUUCACACGGCCGCACGGGUCAACGCUCAGAUUUGUCGACAUCACUCCACUCGACCGCGGCCUCUACCGGUGCAUUGUAACUGCCAUAGAGCCUAAUUCUGGAAAGCGACUCACACUAUUUCAGGAUGUUCACUUUUACCCAAUAUUUUGAAAAUAUUCCCGUAAUUGCCAAACUAUGAUGAGACAGGAUGAACAAAAACCAAAGAAUAAAUUAGUACAUCAUCUAAAAUACAUGAUAGAAAAUAUAUAAAACAGUCAUUUACAACUACACGAAGUGUAGUUUUGAUAUUCCACAAUAUAAUGAAGUCUCUUAAAAACAUGAAAUAUUUUUCUAGACUCUCAGCACCCUAUAAAAGGUUGCGCUUAUAAUUAAGAAGAUUUCAUUCAAUUUUUUCUGUGAGUAUAUUUUUCUCUUAAUAACAAAGUUUGAUAAAAAUGAUAUCAUAAAAUAAAAAUAUUUUCAUCACGAUAUUUCUAAAAAUAGGAGUUUACAAGUGUUAUUAAAAAUAAGUUGGUAGAAAGUAAAUCAAAAGAUAUAAUAACUGGAUGCGAUAGCCCAUUCAUGAGGAGUCCUGAAACUCUAGUAAGAUGAUUUUGAACAGUUGAACGAAAUAUGCAUGUGAUAUUUAAUUGAGUUUCCUAGUAUUUAUUUUCAUAGUUUCUCUUUGUAUUGAUGAAGGAAUAAAAUUUGAUUUUAUAAUAGAGCAUUUGGUAAACUGUGAAAAAAUAGAGUCUAGAUUUACUGUAGCUGAAAUGUUUACUUCCCAAUAAACAAUCAUCAGUUUCGAAUUUCGUUAAUUAUUUGGAUUGUAAAUCCUACCAAUAAUCUCUAAUCAAAAUCAUAAUUCAUCGAGAUAAAAUAAAUCGACAAAUAAAAGAACAGGGGUAAUUCACUUAAAAAUUUAUUCUACCUUUGUAUAGGAUACAAAAUUAGGGAAUUAUUGGAAUUAGUUUUAAAAAGUGAUGCCAGAAGCAUCCUAGGUUUGAAGUUUUAUGAAUUAAAUUAAGUAGAUGAACCUCCAAGCUUGUGA